rnacentral:rRNA from 1 species
GACGAACCGUGCGAACGUUGUUCGGAUUCACUGGGCUUAAAGGGCGCGUAGGCGGGUGACCAAGUCGAGGGGUGAAAUCGUUUCGGCCCAACCCGGAAAAGUGCCUCUGAUACUGGUCGUCGUCGAGGGAGGUAGGGCAUGUCGGAACUUCCGGUGGAGCGGUGAAAUGCGUAGAUAUCGGAAGGAACGCCGGUGGCGAAAGACGACGUGCUGGACCUUUUCUGACGCUGAGGCGCGAAAGCCA